rnacentral:rRNA from 1 species
GACGGACGCUGGCGGCGCGCCUAACACAUGCAAGUCGAACGGAGCUGAGAGAAGCUUGCUUUUCUUAGCUUAGUGGCGAACGGGUGAGUAACGCGUGAGUAACCUGCUCUGGAGUGGGGGACAACAGUUGGAAACGACUGCUAAUACCGCAUAAGCCCACGAUCCGGCAUCGGAUUGAGGGAAAAGGAUUUAUUCGCUUCAGGAUGGACUCGCGUCCAAUUAGCUAGUUGGUGAGGUAACGGCCCACCAAGGCGACGAUUGGUAGCCGGACUGAGAGGUUGAACGGCCACAUUGGGACUGGGACACGGCCCAGACUCCUACGGGAGGCAGCAGUGGGGGAUAGUGCACAAUGGGGGAAACCCUGAUGCAGCGACGCCGCGUGGAGGAAGAAGGUUUUCGGAUUGUAAACUCCUGUCGUUAGGGACGAUAAUGACGGUACCUAACAAGAAAGCACCGGCUAACUACGUG